rnacentral:tRNA from 1 species
GCCUGGGUGGCUCAGUCGGUUGAGCGACUGACUUCGGCUCAGGUCAUGAUCUCACGGUUUGUGAGUUCGAGCCCCGCAUCGGGCA